CCUACGGGAGGCAGCAGUGAGGAAUAUUGGUCAAUGGUCGGGAGACUGAACCGGCCAAGCCGCGUGAGGGAUGAAGGUACAGAGUAUCGUAAACCUCUUUUGUCAGGGAACAAAGGCGGGGACGUUUCCCCGGAUGAGUGUACCUGAAGAACAAGCAUCGGCUAACUCCGUGCCAGCAGCCGCGGUAAUACGGAGGAUGCGAGCGUUAUCCGGAUUUAUUGGGUUUAAGGGGUGCGCAGGCGGUCUGUUAAGUCAGCGGUCAAAGCCCGGGGCUCAACCCCGGCCCGCCGUUGAAACUGGCAGUCGCGAGUUGGAGAGAAGUAUGCGGAAUGCGCGGUGUAGCGGUGAAAUGCAUAGAUAUCGCGCAGAACUCCGAUUGCGAAGGCAGCAUGCCGGCUCCACACUGACGCUGAGGCACGAAAGCGUGGGUAUCGAACAGGAUUAGAUACCCCGGUAGUC
rnacentral:rRNA from 1 species